GAGCUGCCGGGCAGGCUCGGGGCUGGUUUGCCCCGGAGGGGCUGAGCCCACCCCGGCCGGGGGAGCUUCGCCCUCUGGCUUGGCGGGGGCAGCGGGAGCGGUGAGGGAACGGAGCCGGAGGGAAGCGGGGCGGAGCAGCGGGAACUCCCCCGCCCGGGGCCGCGGCAGCCCCCCCGCCCCCGGGGAGGCGAAAGGAGGAGCGGGGGCAGGCGGUGCGCUCCUCCCCCGGGGCACCGACGGCUCCGUCCCGCUGCCGCGGAACCCCCCGGGAGAGGGUUGGGGGGAAGAGGCGUUGAGUCCGGCGGGGGGGGAGAGAAAAGGAGGGAGCAGGAGGGCGGAGGCAGGAGGGGAUAAAAUCCCCGGCGCCGCUGUGACCGGGAGUCUCCUGCCUUUCCUCCUCACCCGCCGCCGGUACCGGGCUUCGGGCCUCCUCUCCAUCCCCGGGGAGUGUGGGGGGUGGGGGGAAAGAACGGGCGAGCACUGCCUGUGCCCACGGGGGAGCGCAGCGGAGCCGCUGCCGCGCUCUCGGCGCCCCCCCCCCCCCCCCCCAACUCUCCCCCGGCGGCGGGGCGGAGAGGAGCGGAGCGGAGGAUGCGGGGCCGGGGUUGGAGGCGGAGGCGGGGCCGGCAUCGCGCUCCCCGGACAUGAAGCGGCCGCCGGGAGCUCCAGAGGGGUAAGAACUGCAGAGUGUUGACUUCACGUAGCUGGUACUGCCAUAGACAGACUGCUGAUGAUUAGUCCAACUCAGGCUCUGUGGUACGUCACCCAGUUGCUCAUCUGUGUCUCAGUUUUCUUUAAGCCAAGUGAGUUAUCAUGGGUGCAAAAAAAAAAAAAAAACCAAAAAAACCACAAAGAAAUCUGUCUUCAGAUAAAUUCAAUCUUUAGUGAGGGAUGAGUGGGAAAAGAUAGUUUCAGCUGGCUGAGGUUAUUAGGACAAAUUAAUCUCCAAUUCAGCACUGCUGAGGUCUGGCCAGGUGCUGGCCAGAGAGUCUGCUCCGUUUGCCAGACUGACCUCAGGAUCAGCUUGCUGCAAAGGUGAUGUAAAGCCAUUUUUUCAUCACUGUUAGGUCCUACGUCAAGCACAGCUUAACCUAGUUCAGAGAUUUUGUCCAGUGUAUCAAGACAUUACCCAGAUGUAGCUCACCAACAGUCACUGCUAUCCGAUCCAUCAUGUCCCUAAAUCUCAUGGAUUACAAUGGUUGGAUAAUCCAGAUCUGCUCGGUCAGAAAAACUGAGCACAGCUGUUCAGGCAGAUUUAAUGCAGAUAGUGCCUUUCCCACUCAAGAGUGAUAAAAACAGAGUCGAGCCCGGAGACUAGAGUGAGGUGGCCACUACAGGGAUAUUUCCUCUGGCAGCAUCCUACACACACACAUAGAAUGGAAGUUUAUGCAGACCUUCCUUAUAAGUGUAACAUUUUUAAAUCUUAAUUAUGUAGGAUGCCACUAGGCUGUUUGAAAUUAAUGGCUGUGUCAUGUACUUCAGUAGGAUUCGUAACGUUAGGUUUAAAAGCAUGAAUAAUUGUACUUGUAUAAUAUUGUAGUUAUAAAUUAAUUAAAACCCAUUCUAACAGUCACUUUUUCUUCUGAGUUCAUGAGGAAAGCUUUGUCAAAUGCCAUGCCAAAAAAUAAGGGCUGUAAGGAAACAUUGUUAACACCUGAGCCGUCACUGUUUCAUUUCAUGUAUUAUUGUAUUUAAUACAGCCCUGAUUCAUCUGAUUAUAGACUGAUAAAAGGGGGAGAUCAACUGUAUGGGCAUUGGAAGUCAAUGAGAAGGUGCAAAGGUGCAUGAGUGACUUGUGGGAUGGCGAGACUGGAGGACAGUCGUCAGAGGAGAGAUGGUCAUGGGAGACAUGACACAAGGGAAGGAGCUAGGAGAUGCAGAAACAGUGUGGACUUUCUGAAGCGUGGACUGAGAUUUUUCAUAUUUUCUAGUGUUUGAGCUCUCCAGAGGCUCAACAGUAUUCCCACAGUCGUACAAUGGGGUUGUGUGCAAAUAUUUGCAUUUUCACUGUGCAGAAAGUGCCAGCCAGAUGUAGGACUACUUACAUCACCAAUGUACAGGAAGAUGUUAUUCCUACUGUAAAGCAUUUGUGAAUACAGUUUGUUUAACACUGAAAAGACUAACGGUAAUGUUUGCAAAAGCAUUCAGGUAACUUGUGAUCUCCAGCCCAAUUCACUGCUUAAAUUAAGAGAUGUGCUACAUAAGGAUUUUUUAGCAAAGUCUCAGAUGAACUGUGAGAGACAGCUUGUCGUACAGUUUCUUUGGAAGAAGCAGCAAUAAGCCUGAAGGUACUUACAGGAGAAAAGAAAGCUGGUGCAGAGAUUAUUAAUGUAGCAUUAGUGGGAGAGAGAGUCCAGAGAAAGUGGAGAUGAGUGUUUAGGGGAUUAGUUGAUCUUGCAGUGAUAACUGAUGGUGGGGAUAUUUAUGGUUGCCCAGCAUUCCCCUUUUCCAUAAUCAGCUCUAGGUAGUCAUUACUUAAAAAACAAAAUAAAACAAAAACAAAACAACAAAACAAACAAACAAA